UUGGCACUUUCAUGCCAUUGCCACUGUAAGGUGGCCCUUUUCAUUGAUGGCUAUCUGGCUUGUUGUGCUUUGGGUUAGGAUUUUCCCAGUUUGUUCUGCCCAUGAUUUGUUUAAAUUAACAUAAAUUCCCUUAAUUGCUGUUUGCUGCUAUGGAUUUGUUGUGGUCGGCACCCAAUUGAAUUCGGAUCGCAUCUGGACGAACGAAAGGAAAGUGAACUCUCCAAAGGCAUCUACUAUACACAUUGAAUAAAAAUUCGCUUCCCAGA
rnacentral:sRNA from 1 species